rnacentral:rRNA from 1 species
UACGAAGGGGGCUAGCGUUGUUCGGAAUCACUGGGCGUAAAGGGCGCGUAGGCGGCCGAUCAAGUCGGGGGUGAAAGCCUGUGGCUCAACCACAGAAUUGCCUUCGAUACUGUUUGGCUUGAGACCGGAAGAGGUUAGUGGAACUGCGAGUGUAGAGGUGAAACUCGUAGAUAUUCGCAAGAACACCAGUGGCGAAGGCGGCUCACUGGCCCGAUACUGACGCUGAGGCACGGAAAGCGUGGGGAGCAAACAGG